GGUGACAUGGCCGAGUGGUAAGACAAAGGACUGCAAAUCCUUUUUUCCCCAGUUCAAAUCCGGGUGUCGUCU
rfam:Capsicum annuum cultivar Zunla-1 unplaced genomic scaffold scaffold669, whole genome shotgun sequence